UCUUUUGUUUCUGUCAACAUCUGUGC
rnacentral:piRNA from 1 species